AGAUAUUUACUCAACAGAAAUGAAAGCUUAUGUGCACACAAAGACUUGUAUAUGACUAUUUAUAUCAGCUUGAUUCAUAAUCACUAAAAACUAGAAACAACUCAAAUAUCAAUUAGCCAGUGAACAGAUAAACAAAUUGUUGUACAACCAUAAAAUGGAAUAUUACUCAGCAAUAAAAGGAACAAACUACUGAAUAUAACAUAUUUAUUAUCUAAGUGAAAGAAGACAGAAACAAUCAUAUGAAUUAGUCACUUAUAUGACAUUUUGGAAAGGCAAAACUAAAAGAAUUGUAAUCAUAUCAGUGGUAGCCAGGAUAUUGGGAAAGGAGAUUGGGAAAGAGGUAUGAGGAAAUUUUAUGGGAUGACGGAAAUGUUCAAUAUCCUGAUUCCGGGGGUGGUUAGAUAUUUACAUAAGUAUUUAUCAAAAUUCAUGGAACUGUACACCUAAAAGACUAAAUUUUACUCUAUGUCAAUUAUACUUCAAUGAACCUGAUGUUUGAAAAAAACCCAGAUUACAAGACUAUUGCUUAUUUUCGGAGAAAAAAUUAAAAUGAUAGUCUUAUGGGACUAAGGUGCUGGCCUUCACAAUGAGCAUGAUGUGGAAGAAGAGAUAGAGAGUUAAUAUCAAAUAGUAGUGCCAUGGUCAGAAUUUUUAAUGUUCAAAGAUGUGGUUCUUUUAGAUCUAUGGAAAAAUAGUCAAUGGACUUGGGGGAUGAUAUCAUUUUUUCUCUUGAUGCUGUGUAACCAUAGAUUUCCCUAAUAUACUCUAAUUUUUCAGAGUCUUUUACUUUCCAACUCUUGCAACUUUGAACAAUUGCUCUUUCAACUACCUGCCUUUACCUUUAUUUCAUUGUUUAAAUUUUAUUCUUUACUACAUACAUGGCAUACUAUCUUAUUUAAUAAAUCUAUAAUUUGUCAUUAUGGACAUAUUGUAAUAAGUUCAUUAAAUAAAAGACCAAAAAUCUUCAUAAAUCUGAUCACAUCCUCACAUAUAAUAUAUAAUGCCACAAUAUUUUAAUUUCUAUUUUACUAUGUACAAAUUAACUUUCAAUUAAUGAAAUUUAUUAUAGUAAAAUUCUAACUAGAUAGAUAAAUAUAAGUUUUUGGAUAAGACAGUAGUUGGAAACUUUGCAUUCUGCUAUUGCUAAGAAAUAAAUAGGAUUUUAUCUAUUUUUCAAAAUUUCCUGUGUGCACUGCUAAUGCUAACCAUUCAAUUUUUCUAAUUAUGUCAAAAUGGUAUCCUGGAAGACAAUGGUUCGAUUCAUUAUGAAUUCACAAAUAGCAUUGACUCAAUAGAACUCCACAUCAGACCUUUUCUCCCAUUUUCUCAUGGCAGAAUCUCUAGUUCAUGAAUACAAGUCUAGGAUACAAUCAGAAGUAAGUUCAAGGACAACGAUGGCAGCAAAGGAAUAUAAAAGACAUAAACUCACAAGGAUGAACAGGAGGGGAGAUGACAGCAGACAAGAGAUGUCAACAAGUUGAGAAAGGAGGAGAGAGGACAGAUGAGAGGUACCCGUGACUUCGCAGUGCCAUUGGGGGAGAGCUGAACACUAGGAGUUUGAGGUGAAAGAGUAGAAGAGCGAAUGUUUGAGUGACCAAGAGCCAGCACACACUUUCGUCCAGUCCUCACCACCGCAAGGCCUAUGCCCUGCCAUGUUACCACUCAGCGGACUCCUGCACUGGUAAAAGAGCCAUGCCACUGAUUCCUGCCAUGCAAGGAAGUGAUGCAGUGAUUGCCCCACAGAGGGGAGAAGCAAGAGCUGAGUUUAAGACUUCCUCCCACCUAUCCACGGUCCUGGCAGCCCAGGCUGCAGGACAUCCUGGAGGCAGCCAUGAUACAUUUUGUGCCUGAGUGAACUACCUUGUCAGAACGUUUUGGAAAAGUUUCUAGAACUCAUCAGUAAAAAAAAAGACUACAAACAACUUCGAUCCCCAUCACCACUGCGCCAACAAAAAAUAGAGAGAAAACAAUUUGGACUAGUCUGUUUGAGAGAGAAAGAGACACAGACAGACAGAGAGACAGAUGGCGUGUUACUAUACAGAGUGAAAUUUCUGAGAUUUCAUCCUUCUUAGAGUUUUGGUGUUAAACUCUCUUUCCUUUUAUGAAAUGAUGAUGUCAGUAGAUGUAGCUUUUGUUGGUGAAUGUCCUCAAAAAACGUGAAGCCAUCCUCUAUGUUGUUCCUCAUCAUUUUUAAAAUCUUACCGUCCAUAAAAUUCAACAUCCUGAGAACUAUCACUUAAUGACUGUAGAAGAU
rnacentral:lncRNA from 1 species